rnacentral:misc_RNA from 1 species
UCCGAGUUGACCCCGGCAGUCUCCUAUGAGUCCCCACCAUCACGUGCUGGCAACAUAGAACGAGGGUUGCGCUCGUUGCGGGACUUAACCCAACAUCUCACGACACGAGCUGACGACAACCAUGCACCACCUGUGCGCGACGCCAAAGGCACCCCGCAUCUCUGCGAGAUUUCCGCGCAUGUCAAGCCUAGGUAAGGUUCUUCGCGUUGCAUCGAAUUAAGCAACAUGCUCCGCCGCUUGUGCGGGCCCCCGUCAAUUCCUUUGAGUUUUAGCCUUGCGGCCGUACUCCCCAGGCGGGGCGCUUAAAGCGUUAGCUGCGCCACUGACAGGCAAGCCUGCCAACGGCUAGCAUCCAUCGUUUACAGCGUGGACUAC